CUGGCCCGCCGCCCCGCCCACCGCCUGGAGGGCGCGAGAGUGGACUAGUGCGCACGCGCAGACCGCGCGAGGCCGUUGGAAGGCGCGGCCCAGAGCGCCAGCGAGCGGGAGUCAACCAGCCCGGAGGUGGGGGCUGACAGGACUCGAGACCUCUGCGACUGUAGCGCAACCCCCUCCCCAUCCCCCGCCUCCCGCCUCCACGCUGUGGCCAGUUCCCGGCCCUCUCAGUUCCGCGCUGCCCCUUAAAGGUGGGGCCUGGGCACAGGAGCGACAGGCGUUGCAGCCAAUGGUGUCCCGCACGGUAAACCUGCUACCCAAUCACGAGGCGCGGCUGCGAGGGAACGGCGUGGGAACCACGCCCGGCUCCAGAAUUCAAGAAAGAAUAAAAGAACAAAAAACAGGAGACAAACAGCAAGAUGGCAGGCUUAUAGCCUGGUCUGGGAAGAUCCCACAUGUCGAGGAGCAGCUGAGCUCGAGUACUGCAACUACUGAAGCUUGCUCACCUAGAGUCUGUCCUUUGCAACUAGAGAAGCCACAGCAAUGAAAAGCCCAUGCACGGCAAUGAAGAGUAGCCCCUGCUUGCCACACUAGAGAAAACUCACACAUAGCAACAAAGACACAGGAUAGCUGUAAAUAACUUUAUUUUGAAAAAGACAUACUUUUAAGAACACAGAAAUAUUGAGAAACUAAUGGAAUAUGUACAGUAUGACCACACUAACCAAAAGAAAGCUGGUGUGGCUUUAUUAAUUUCAAACAAAGUAGACUGGAAGAGAAAGUAUUCUAGAAAAAAAGGAGGGAUAUUUUAUAAUUAUUAAAGAGUCCAAAAAAGAGCCAAUUCAACAGGAAGAUAAAACACUCCUCAAUUUUAUGUACUUCAUAACAUAAUUUCAAAUAUGCAAAAUAAAAAAUUACAGAAUUAAAA